AUUGAACGCUGGCGGCAGGCCUAACACAUGCAAGUCGAGCGGCAGCGGAAAGUAGCUUGCUACUUUGCCGGCGAGCGGCGGACGGGUGAGUAAUGUCUGGGAAACUGCCUGAUGGAGGGGGAUAACUACUGGAAACGGUAGCUAAUACCGCAUAACGUCGCAAGACCAAAGAGGGGGACCUUCGGGCCUCUUGCCAUCAGAUGUGCCCAGAUGGGAUUAGCUAGUAGGUGGGGUAACGGCUCACCUAGGCGACGAUCCCUAGCUGGUCUGAGAGGAUGACCAGCCACACUGGAACUGAGACACGGUCCAGACUCCUACGGGAGGCAGCAGUGGGGAAUAUUGCACAAUGGGCGCAAGCCUGAUGCAGCCAUGCCGCGUGUAUGAAGAAGGCCUUCGGGUUGUAAAGUACUUUCAGCGGGGAGGAAGGCGUUGUGGUUAAUAACCACAGCGAUUGACGUUACCCGCAGAAGAAGCACCGGCUAACUCCGUGCCAGCAGCCGCCGCGG
rnacentral:rRNA from 1 species